rnacentral:lncRNA from 1 species
CCCGCGCUCCUCCGGGCAGAGCGCGUGUGGCGGCCGAGCACAUGGGCCCGCGGGCCGGGCGGGCUCGGGGCGGCCGGGACGAGGAGGGGCGACGACGAGCUGCGAGCAAAGAUGUGCCCCGGGACCCCCGGCACCUUCCAGUGGAUUUCCUUGCGGAAAGGAUGUUGGCGGUCCCUGUGACCUGUGGAGACACGGCCAGAUCUGCCCUCCAGCCUGAUCUUUUGGCCAGAAGGAGAUUAAAAAGAUGCCCCUCAAGAUGGCUGUGCCUGUCAGCUGCAUGGAGCUUCGUUCAAGUAUUUUCUGAGCCUGAUGGAUUUACAGUGAUCUUCAGUGGUCUGGGGAAUAACGCUGGUGGAACCAUGCACUGGAAUGACACACGCCCGGCACAUUUCAGGAUACUAAAAGUGGUUUUAAGGGAGGCUGUGGCUGAAUGCCUCAUGGAUUCUUACAGCUUGGAUGUCCAUGGGGGACGAAGGACUGCAGCUGGCUGAGAGGGUUGAGAUCUCUGUUUACUUAGAUCUCUGCCAACUUCCUUUGGGUCUCCCUAUGGAAUGUAAGACCCCGACUCUUCCUGGUGAAGCAUCUGAUGCACGUUCCAUCCGGCGCUCAGCUGGGCUUGAGCUGACCAUACUCCCUGGAGCCUUCUCCCGAGGUGCGCGGGUGACCUUGGCACAUACAGCCAUCAUGAUGGUACUUUAAGUGGAGGCUGAAUCAUCUCCCCUUUGAGCUGCUUGGCACGUGGCUCCCUUGGUGUUCCCCUUUUACUGCCAGGACACUGAGAUUUGGAGAGAGUCUCACUCUGUGGUCCAGGCUGAAGUACAGUGGCAUGAUCCCAGGUCACUGCAACCCCCACCUCCCGGGUUCAAGUGAUCCUCCUGCCUCAGCCUCCCGAGUAGCUGGUAUUACAGGCGUGUGCCACAAAGCCUGGCUAAGUUUUGUAUUUUUAGUAGAGACGGGGUUUCACCAUGUUGGCCAGGUUGGUCUCGAACUCCUGACCUCAAGUGAUCCACUCACUUUGGCCUUUCAACGUGCUGGGAUUACAGGCGAGAGUCACCGCACCCGGACGACUCUGACAUUUUUGAAGAGUCCAGAAUCCUGUUACACCUGGGAUUUAGGCACUUUCAAUCUGAAAAAAUACAUAUCCUUUCAGCACUCUGGACGGACUUGAGAACUGUCCUUACGUGACCUAAAGCUGGAGUAUUUUGAGAUUGGAGAAUUAAGGAUUUUAAAGAACUCCUGGCCCACUCGGAACUCUACGCUUGAAACAGAAACAUCUUCUCAAAACACCUCUGGCUGGAGUACAGUGGAAGGAUCAUGGCCCACUGUAGCCUAGACAUCCCAGGCUGAAAUGAUCCUCUCUCCUCAGCCUCCCAAGUACCUGGGACUACAGGCCAACAGAGAUUUUGAGAAACACAUUGAAGGAUCUGUUAACACUUGAUAUACCCAAUAAAAGCAGUGGUUGUGCCAGUGCUGAUCUGUCUUGAUGUGAAUGUGAACAAUGGGAACCUGAGCUGAGCAGUUAAUGCUAGGGUGACAGAAACUGGACCUCUCCCAAGACAUGUGACAGAGUAAUACAGCAGCCAACUUCUUCGCCAAAUUAAAGUUUUACAAGAUUUAACCUGUCAUCAAGACCUGGGAUUUUGGUGAGCCAGUCUUGGUGCUCUGUGUUCACCUGGUUCAUCUGAGGAGCUGCAUCUACCCUGCCCAUGCCAUAGAUCCUGCCCUGUUUGCUUCUCCUGUUGCUGCUAGUGGACAUGAGAAGGACAGAAUAACGGGCUCCCAGAUUCACAAGCCCCACCAAGAGGAUCACCCCAGGAACGCUUGGAGGCUGAGGAGUUCACUGAGGCUACUGCAUCUUGAGACUCAGGAUGAAGACCCAGCUUGGGGCUGUCAAAGGUUUUUUGCAUGUCUGACACCCAUGACUCCACCUGGACCUUAUGGCUCCACCCAGAAGCAAUUCAGCCCAACAGGAGGACAGCUUCAACCCAUUACGAUUUCAUCUCUGCCCCAACCACUCAGCAGCAAGCACCUGUUACCUGUCCACCCCCACCCCUUCCCCCAAACUGCCUUUGAAAAAUCCCUAACCUAUGAGCUUUGAAUAAGAUGAGUACGAACUUCAUCGCCCACGUGGCGUGGCCGGCCUCGUGUCUAUUAAAUUCUUUUUCUACUACAA